rnacentral:rRNA from 1 species
UACGAAGGGGGCUAGCGUUGCUCGGAAUCACUGGGCGUAAAGCGCACGUAGGCGGAUUGCUAAGUCAGGGGUGAAAUCCUGGAGCUCAACUCCAGAACUGCCUUUGAUACUGGCGACCUUGAGUCCGGGAGAGGUGAGUGGGAACUGCGAGUGUAGAGGUGAAAUUCGUAGAUAUUCGCAAGAACACCAGUGGCGAAGGCGGCUCACUGGCCCGGUACUGACG